AUACGGAGGGCGCAAGCGUUGUUCGGAAUUACUGGGCGUAAAGGGCAGGUAGGUGGUCUGUUAAGUCUUCUGUGAAAACCCGGGGCUCAACCCCGCGGAAUGCAGGUGAAACUGGCAGACUUGAGACCGGUAGAGGCUAGCGGAAUUCCUGGUGUAGCGGUGGAAUGCGUAGAUAUCAGGAAGAACACCUGUGGCGAAGGCGGCUAGCUGGGCCGGUUCUGACACUGAACUGCGAAAGCGUGGGGAGCAAACAGUAUUAGAUACCCGGGUAGUCC
rnacentral:rRNA from 1 species